UUUGGUGAUCAUCAGUAACUUUUCGAAUCGCAUGACUUUACGUCGGCGAUGGUUCAUUCCAAAUUUCUGCCCUCAUCCAAGUUUCGAUGGUAGGAUAGCAGGCUACAUGCUUUUUACGGGUAACGGCGAAUUAGGGUUCGAUUCCGGAGAGGGAGCCUGAGAAACGGUACCACAUCUAAGGAAGGCAGCAGGCGCGCAAAUUACCCAAUCCUGAUUCAGGGAGGUAGUGACAAUAAAUAACAAUCCAGGACUUCGGUCUUGGAAUUGGAAUGAGAACAAUUUAAAUCUCUUAUCGAGGAACAAUUGGAGGGCAAGUCUGGUGCCAGAGCCGGGUAAUUACCAGAUCCAAUAGCGUAUAUUAAAGUUGUUGCAGUUAAAUAGCUCGUAGUUGAAUCUA
rnacentral:rRNA from 1 species